UGGGGAAUAUUGGGCAAUGGAGGCAACUCUGACCCAGCAAUGCCGCGUGAGUGAUUGAAGGUAAUUUUAUUGUAAAGCUCUUUUCUUUGGAACGAAUAAAUGACGGUACCAAAGGAAUAAGCCCCGGCUAACUACGUGCCAGCAGCCGCGGUAAUACGUAGGGGGCAAGCGUUGUUCGGAAUGACUGGGCGUAAAGGGUGUGUAGGUGGUUUGAUAAGUUAGAUGUGUAAUACCCAGGGCUUAACUCGGGUGCUGCAUCUAAAACUGUUAGACUUGAGUACUGGAGAGGAUAGUGGAAUUCCUAGUGUAGCGGUGGAAUGCGUAGAUAUUAGGAGGAACAUCAGUGGCGAAGGCGACUAUCUGGACAGCAACUGACACUGAGGCACGAAAGCGUGGGGAGCAAACAGG
rnacentral:rRNA from 1 species